GGGUGUGAUCAUACCAGCACUAUAGCACCGGAUCCCAUAAGAACACUAAAGUUAAGCAUGCUUGGGCAAGGGUAGUACUAGGAUGGUGACUUCCUGGGAAGUCCUCAUGUUGUAUUCC
rnacentral:rRNA from 1 species